rnacentral:rRNA from 1 species
GACGAACGCUGGCGGCGUGCUUAACACAUGCAAGUCGAACGGAAAGGCCCUGCUUUUGUGGGGUGCUCGAGUGGCGAACGGGUGAGUAACACGUGAGUAACCUGCCCUUGACUUUGGGAUAACUUCAGGAAACUGGGGCUAAUACCGGAUAGGAGCCCCUGCUGCAGGGUGGGGGUUGGAAAGUUUCGGCGGUUGGGGAUGGACUCGCGGCUUAUCAGCUUGUUGGUGGGGUAGUGGCUUACCAAGGCUUUGACGGGUAGCCGGCCUGAGAGGGUGACCGGCCACAUUAGGACUGAGGUACGGCCCAGACUCCUACGGGAGGCAGCGGUGGGAAAUAUUGCACAAUGGGCGGAAGCAUGAUGCAGCAACGCCGCGUGCGGGAUGACGGCCUUCGGGUUGUAAACCGCUUUCGCCUGUGACGAAGCGUGGGUGACGGUAAUGGGUAAAGAAGCACCGGCUAACUACGUG